GACCUACAUCUUAACUUACCCGUAGUAUAUCGUUAAACGGCUAAUGGGUGUUACAGAAAAUACAAAAAGGAAAAGAAGUGUGUACAGAAUAUAAUCAGAAAGGAAGGGAAAAUUAGAGACGAUGAAAAGGGGGUCAAUCCGAUUACGGCAAAUUAAAAAACUACACUACUUUUCUUCUUCUUCUUCUAAUAAUAAUAACAAUAAAACUAUGUUGAUUGUUAUGCUUUUGAUCGCGAUUUCUUCAGAUCUAUCCGCCUUAGCAGACGACCACCACGGCGAACUAAAAGGAGGAGGAAGAGGGUUGAAGGAAGCAGUCGAAAACACCACGGGAACUACUGCUUUCACCUUCGAUUGCUCUCCUUCUGGUCCUUGCAUCCCUUGCGUUUACCACGAAAAGAAACUAGAAAGUUACCGCUGCAGUGAAACCGGAUAUCGUAUUCCUAUGAAGUGUGUCAAAACUACUGUAUCUCCCCUUGAUACUCAAAAUAACAACCACGACCACCAGGGCCGCCCAAGUCUGUUGGAAGAUUCCUCCUCCACCGUAGAAGUUGGAUCAGAAGUCUAUAUUACAUACAGAAGUUGUAUCCCUGCUGUUAAUCAAGAAAGAUUAUCACUCCUUGGCUUUGAGGCCAUUAUGUUGUUGUUACUCGCAUCUAGUUCCUUUGUCAUUUUCAGACGUAAGAGAACUUUGAUCAUGCCUCCAAGGUUUUAAACCUGCAUCUUCACAUGCUUCGGAUGACUUCGUGAUUUCCCAAAUUACAAACUUUUUUCUGAUACAGAUUAUUCAGGUUCUCAGUAAGUGCCAUCUGUAAAAGGGAGGAAACCAAAAAGGUCGUAGAAUGUUUCAAACAUUUACAUUUCCGUACUUUCUUAGACAUUCAGGAUAGAAACCAUGCUUGAGCCGAAUAGAAGAGAAAAGUACAUCCAACAAGUAAAUUUACGACAGGGUGCUUGGUGUUUCCAUUUCCGGGUCUAAUUUUCCGAACUGGUGUUGAUUUCUUGAGGAUUGCAUGUAGGUAACAUGAGAAUAUCGUGAACCAUCAAGCACAAAGUGAUCCCUUAUGUCAUGUUAUCCAUUUGGUUAGACCAUCCACAAGCUUCAUAAUCAAGUUGAAAUACAAAUUUAGUGUUACAAAUCACCAUUGUUUUUGUUGUGAAUUCUUGAUUUUAUUGGUCAAAAUUGUUUUAAGGUUGUAGCUCUGACUAUUAUUAUUGUAUAAUUUAUAGAGAUUUUCUUUGCCAAAAAGAAAAGAACUUUGAAGGCUA